rnacentral:lncRNA from 1 species
AUAUAGUUGUUUUGGGGUAUUCAAAGCAUUUGGCAAGUAUGUACUUUGGCCUGGGUUUCAUCCUGAGCACAGUAUUUUUGAUUUUGAGAUGAGAUUCUUCUUAUGUAGCCCUAGCUGGCCUGCAACUACCUAAGUAUAUCAGGCUACAUCUAUUUAUCUGUCUUCUACCACCACACCCAGCCACCAUGGCAGAAAUUUGUUUUUUAAAUCACUUUGUUUGUUUGUUUGAGACAGGGUCUUUCUGUGUAGCUCUGGCUUAUUCUGCAACUCACUAUGUAGAUCGGGUUGGCCUAGAACUCACAGAGAUAUUCCUGCCUCUGCCUCCUGAGUGCUGAUAUUAAAGGUAUGUAUGCACUGCUAUGUAACUUGUAGGAGUCAGUUCUUUCUUUUCAUCAUAUGAGCCCCAGUAAUUGAACUAAAGGCAAGUACCACUGAGUUAUCUUGGUGGUCUAAACAGAGUUUUCUUACAAUUGUUUGUUUGUUUUUAUUGGCCCUUUGAAUUUUUUUCAUGCAGUGUAUUUUGAUCUUGUUCACUCCCUCUUUUAAUCCCAUCAGGCAGAUCUUUCAGUUCUAUGCCAGCCUAGUCUACAGAGUGAGUUCCUAGACCACCAGGUCUACAUAAAAAACAAAAUAAAUUACUUAUUUGUGGGAAUAUGCAUGUGUUUGCAAAUACACACUUGCACACUACAUAUACAUAUUUUGAUUACUUCUAAUCAAAUCACAGUAUUACAGUCAUAGAAUCACAAAUUGUGCGGUCGCCGGGCGGUGGUGGCACACGCCUUUAAUCCCAGCACUUGGGAGGCAGAGGCAGGCGGAUUUCUGAGUUCGAAGCCAGCCUGGUCUACAGAGUGAGUUUUAGGACAGCCAGGGCUAUACAGAGAAACCCUGUCUUGAAAAAAAAAAAAAACCAACAACAACAACAGAAAACAAAUUGUGCUGUCACAAACAUGUUUCACAGUCUGAAGAGAUAGCUUAGUAGAUUAAGAGCACAUACUACUCUUGCACAGGACCUAAAUUUGAUUUCCAGCAACAUGUCACGUGGAUCACAAACUCAUGUAAUUCUAGGUCCAUGGAUACACACACACACACACAGACAGAUAUAUUUACAUAUAAAUUUUAAAAAAUCAAGUCAGGCUUUUUAAAAGUACAUUUAAAUAUAGGUCUUUAUGCACGUAAGUAAUUCUAAAUUCCUAGAAUGGUAUUAUGUUUUUCAUUUAGUACGUUUAUUGUGUUUACCAUGUCACACAAUUAUAGCAUUUAUAUGCCCUUUUUUGGUUUUAUUCUUUUUACUAUAUUGCCCUGACUGCUUCCAUGGUGCUAGGAUUAAAAUAAUAAAUUAAUGGGCAUCAACUUUUUUUAUAUUAAUAUUUGCCCAAAAUUGUUUUCUUGUAGGAUUUCAGAAGUGUAACACCUUGAGCUAUAUUUUGUGUUCAUAAUUAAUUACUAGUGAAUCUUAUUUUACUAAAAAGUACUUAGAGCCAAGCAGGAUGCUACAUGCUUAUAGCCCCAGCAAUUGAGACACUUAACUAGCAGGAGCUCAACUUUGAGUCCACCCUAUUCUAUAGAGCAAUAUGUCUCAAAAAGUAUAUGCAACAAGGAGCUAGAAAGGUAGCUCAGCAAUUAAGAGCACUAGUUGUUCAUACAGAGCACUAGGAUUGGAUUCCUAGCAUCUACAUGGUGGCUCACAGUUGUGGCUGUUACUCCAGCUUCAAGGAAUCCAGUACCUUUUUCUAGCCUUCAAAGGCACCAGGCAUGAAUUUAAUACACAAACAUAUAUGUGCAGUCAGAACACCCAUACAC